AGAGACAUUCAUUUCUAUAUAAAUAUUUAAGAACACACGUACGAUAACACGUGAAGUCAGUUUUCAGUACAUCUGAAUCACAUUACCACUUAACAUGAAGCCUAACCAUCUGAUUAUGAGUUUAGAUCCUGCAGACCUUUAUAUAAAAGCUCUUUCAACUUUCUGUUUAUGCUUCAGCAAACCCUAACCUAACUGACAAGAAUGACUGAGUUUCUCCCAGGUUUGUUAACAAAUGUUUAUUCUAUUACUCUCUAAAGAAUACUUUCAUGUGAUCAUCUCACUCUUAAACAGAAUUAACUGGAAAAAUAUUACAUAAAAUCAUCACAUUUAGAUUUAAAUUUUUGCAAUUUUAAGAUUUUGAACCAUUUUAUGUGUCUUAUGUCAAUGAUAGAAGAAAAGUAUCAUACAACCAAUCAGUGUUGUAAGGAAAUUUUCCCUUAAAGUCCUCUUACAUUUUUAUUUUUCUAUGUCCUUUCUAUUCUUUUGUUUGAUUUUUCUCUUUGGCUUUCAUAAACUCACCUUAAGCCCAUGUAAUGACUCAUAAAACUGCAUAUUUAAAUUAUUUGACUUACAUGAAACAAUUGUUCAGCUAUCUGGGCAGCUGUCAAUGAAAUACCUGAGAGUAACAACACUACUCCUUUAUCUACCUGGAUUACUUUCCCACAAAAAUUUAUCUUCAUAAACUAUCUCUAUUAAUCAGGUUUCUAAGCUCCACAGCCUAUUUCAGUUAAAAUCAUCUAUUCAACAAUUAAAAAAAAAAAACUGCAGUCAUCAAGGAUGGAAAUGUAUGAUUUGUGUAAAAAAGUCUUUACUAACUUUACACUGUACCACAGAUAAAUGUGAUUUUGAUAACAAUUCCAUACAAUGACAAAUAUGGCACAUAGAUUUUCUUUAAAAUACUGAUAGAGUGUAUUUUUAAAUUAAAGUAUUUGAAAUCAAAAUAGUUCUAAGAAAGAAAUUGUCAUUAAACAAGUUUCUUACUAUUUCUGACUUUGAAUUAUACAGAAAUUUAAAUUGCCUUAAAUGACAUAGAAAAUUGGGGAUACAAUAAUUUCACUUAGAUACUAUGAGCCUGUUCAUAUAAUUCUGAUUGACUACUAACUUUGGUUUAUGUAUUUAUUAAAAAGCUGAUACUGUAGUUUGUUG
rnacentral:lncRNA from 1 species